AAGAGACCGGAGCUCCGUUAGAAGCACGAUGGCCCAGGCUGCCUAUUGUAUCCCGGACCCGCUGUGAGAAAACCUGGAGGCACAUGUGAGUGCAUACUUUCCCCUGCACAAGAGAUGAAGCCAUCUCCCACUGCACCGCCGGGCCCCGCAUACCGGGAGGAGAUUGCAGCACCUAGCAGAUAAAGCCUGGCCGCAUCCCGGGGAAGCGGUGCGCAGACCUGAAUCCCCUGUCCACUGCCAGCCACAUCAGAAGUACAAUGGGCAAGUGACAAGAGAGAGCACAGAUGGGGGCGAGGAGACCAGCUUGGCUGAUGUGAGGCAAUGAGGCAAGGAGAAAACUGAACAGGGAUGCUACUAUGAGCCUAUGGAAAUAUUUAUGGAACAGUUGGAAUUUCUGUCAGGAACUGGUCAUGUAUACCAGUCCUCCCGUAUUCUGCACAUGCCUGGGCUAUGGUUAAGGUUGACAAGACAGUAGAUACUUCUCAUCAAAAGAACACUCAAGAUGUUACAAAAAAAUCACGCAUCCAAGUCAACCAAAGUUGGGCUUCAUAAUAGAAAAAGCAGAGCCCAGAUUCCAAUUUUACUGAAAACCACUGAGAUGACCUAAACAGGGCUGUGCACGAGAUCCCCUUGCAAUUUAAUGGAACUUUGUUGCUGGGAAGAGUGAUAUAGAAUUGCAAAGUUCAGGUGUAAAGUUGAUAAGAGAUAUAUUCAAAAAGACUUACUGCUAUAAUAAAAACAAAAUGGUGCUUCCACACAGAAUUAGUCUAGGUGUGUACACACUUAUAGACCCGGGGUAGUGUGUUUUUUUGGUUUUUUUUUUACGUGUUUCCUAAAAAUUGUGUAUUUUUUUUAUUCAACUGCAUUUGUUGGUUAGAAGGCAACAUUAAAAAGUAGGAAUAAAUCUGACAUGGUUUAAGCUUGAUUUCAGAAUGCUGGUAUUAAACAAUCUACAUAACCCA